GUUGAGUAUACAAGUGUGAAGUACAAAGGGGUUAAGACUGAAGAGAGUGUGUUAAGCAUUGGUGUGAUGGGAGAGGUUCACAGUGGCCUGACCGUACAAGGCCGUACAAGGCCGUACGGUCCGUACACAUUCAGACCAGUGAAACCAUGACCGCGGUUACAAGGAGUUACCCGAGUAACUUAUGGGAAGAGAAGGGGCUUUGGCUGAUGAAUCAGACCGUUGGAGGAUAAGAGAGGCGCGGCUUUACAGGCUGGCACAGCUGGAAAGGCAAGAGCAUCUUUGUCCAAGAUCCUAGAUGCUCCAAGCAUGUGGGAACGCUGAUUGGCCGAGUUAAAGAGAGCUUAUCCUAACCUUGUUGACUUCACAUGCUUAGCUCUCCUUUAUGAUUUCGAAAACCCUACUGAUCUCUCACUAUAUAUUGUAGCUCUUGUCAUUAAUAAUAAACAUACAGUUCUGAGUCUCUCUCUAAUCUCUUAAGGCACCAUGAUUCUCUCUUAGACACUAAACAGCUCUCAAGUCUCUUAAUCUUUCACAAUCUCUUUCUAAUCUCUACUUAAACUCUCACUUAUACUCUAGUUACUCUAAGGAUCUCUCAAUCUCAUAUGGUAUCAGAGCCAGGUUCAUUAGGAUCUGGGGUUUGAUCUUUAGAGAGGUACAAGCUGAAGGCUUUGAAGCUACACGCGAGUGGCUUUGAAGGUGUUUGGGCUGUGCUACGUUCGGUGUGUGUGUGCGAUCCUAGACUCAAGAUUGGUGUGUGUACGUGACUCAAGACUCAAGAUUUCAUCAGAUUCAAGUUGUUCAAGUCAAGCUAAGCAAAGAUGGAACAUGGUAUGAACAUGAGGAUGAAGGUGGCGGUUACUUUCAAAGGUAACAACUAUCUUGUGUGGUCUCGGAUGGUGAAGACUGCUGUGGGAAGUAAGGGUUUGUGGGGGCACAUCACAACAGGGGAGGCUCCAAAACUCAUUACUCAGGGAGGAGAUCAAGAAGAGGUCUCCAAUGAAGCGGCUGUAGAGAAAUGGCAACAAGAAGACAUGCUGGUGAUGACGGUUCUACACGCAUCCUUGGAUCCAGCCAUCUUAGACGCCUACAGCUACUGUGAGUCAGCCAAAGAGCUGUGGGACACGCUGAAGAAGGUGUAUGGGAACAUCUCCAACCUCAGCCGUGUGUUUGAAGUAAAGCAAGCUAUCAACCGUCUAGUGCAAGAGGAUAUGGAGUUCACUAAGCACUUGGGAAGGUUCAGGUCCUUAUGGUCAGAACUAGAGAUGCUGAGGCCAAGCACAACUGAUCCUGAUCAGCUGAAUGAGAGGCGUGAGCAAGAUAAGGUCUUUGGACUGCUUCUCACGCUGAACCCGGCCUACACUCAACUCAUCCAGCACAUGUUGAGGGCUGACAAACUUCCGGACCUUGAGGAUGUGUGUGCGCAAAUCCAAAGGGAGCAGGGGUCUAUGGGGUUGUUUGGAGGAAAGGGGGAGCUCUCUCUUGCCAAUCAAGCAGCUCAUGAGGACUUGACCGAAGCUCCACAAGCAAACAAGGCAUCUCACGGGAAGUAUGAGGACAGGAAGUUCAAUGGCAACUGUGAUCAUUGCAAGAAGCAUGGUCAUAAGAAAAGCCAAUGCUGGAUACUACACCCACACCUCAAGCUUGCCAAGUUCAUGAAGGAGCGUGAGGGAAGGGCAAAUGUGACUGAAGGAUCAAGUGGAGCUGGCACCAUCAAGACAAGUGAAGUGGAUGGUCAUGGAGGCAAUGAUGGGAAUGGGAAGUCUCUGGUGGCUUACACAGGCGCCUCAAGCUCACGCAGCAAUGAUGACUACAUCAGGAGAUCAGACCUUGAUGCGCUCUUCAAAAUGCUAAAGGAAAACGGUAACACUUAUGGUUAUUCCUUUGGAGCAUCUAUGAUUGCAUAUAAGGAUGAUCACUUGAUUAGAGAACUAGUAGAACGGUUAGAGGCUAGGAAUGAGUAUAGAUGUGCACACAUUGCUAGAAAUGAUAGGAUUCAUUCAUCACUUGGUAAUCUAUGUCAUAAUGCUAAACGAGUAGAUAAACCAUUGAUUGUUGAUUCUGGUGCAUCACAUCAUAUGAUAAGUGAUGAGAAACUGAUUAAGGAUAUAGAACCUACUCAUGGACAUGUGAUGAUAGCAAAUGGAGAUAAGAUACCUAUUAAGGGAAUAGGAAAGCUUAAGUUGUUUAACAAAGAAUCUAAAGCUUUUUACAUGCCUGAAUUCACAUCAAACCUAUUAUCUGUAAAGAAAUGUACUAAUGAUUUACAAUGCAAUGUUAUCUUUAGUCCUAAUGAUGUGAAGUUUCAGGAUAUUGAGAGCAGCAGAUUGAUUGGGAAAGGGGUGACUAAAGGAGAUCUCUAUAUGCUUGAAGAACUCACUUCUGUUCCUGAUUAUAGUUGCUCGUUUACUUCUGCUUCUUUGAUGAAUAAACAUGCAUUGUGGCAUGCUAGAGUAGGACACCCUCAUGUUAAAGCUUUGAACUUAAUGGUACCAGGUGUUGUGUUUGAAAACAAAAAUUGUGAAGCUUGCAUUUUAGGCAAGCAUUGUAGAACUGUGUUUCAAAAGUCUACUACUGUUUAUGAGAAUUGCUUUGAUCUAGUUCAUUCAGAUGUAUGGACUGCGCCUUGCUUAUCUAGAGAUAGCUAUAAGUAUUUUGUCACAUUCAUUGAUGAAAAAUCCAAAUACACCUGGUUAACCUUAAUUCAGACCAAAGAUAGGGUACUUGAUGCAUUUAGGAACUUUCAAACGUAUGUGACUAACCAUUAUCAUGCUAAGAUUAAAAUUUUGAGAUCAGAUAAUGGAGGAGAGUACACAAGCAAUGCAUUCAAGCAGCACUUAUCACAAUAUGGGAUUCUACAUCAAACAAGCUGUCCAUAUACUCGCACUUAUCACAAUAUGGGAUUCUACAUCAAACAAGCUGUCCAUAUACUCCACAGCAAAAUGGAGUGGCUGAGAGGAAGAAUAGGCACCUCAUGGAAGUGGCAAGGUCACUUAUGUUUCAGAGUAACGUCCCAAAGAGAUUUUGGAGUGAUGCAGUUGCCACUGCUUGUUACUUGAUCAAUAGAACUCCAACCAAGAUUCUGAAUGAGAAGGCUCCAUUUGAAGUUCUGAACAAGUACAAGCCAGUUCUUGAUUACUUGAAAGUCUUUGGAUGUCUAUGCUUUGUGCUCAAACCAGGAGAGAUGCGCAACAAGCUAGAAGCAAGAAGUACUAAGGCUGUAUUCAUAGGAUACUCAGCUACACAGAAAGGAUACAAGUGCUAUGAUCCUAUAGCAAGAAGAGUACUUGUAUCUAGAGACGUGAAGUUCUUAGAAGAUAGAGGGUACUAUGAAGAAAAGAAUCAAGAAGACCUGAAGGACUUAACAUCAGACAAGGCCACCACCUUGCGGAUCAUCCUUGAAGGUCUUGGAAUCAGUACAUCCCAGGAUCCAAGAGAUCACACGACUACACCUCCUGAAGUAGGUUCACCAUCCCACCUUGAUCAUGAGGGAGGAGAGGAGAAUGAAGAGCCUAUGCAAGAGGCUAACCAAGAUGAUGGAGGAGUAGAGGAUGAAGGAGAAGAGAGCAUAGGCUCUGAUGGUCAUGGGCAUGAUCAUGGUGUGAUACAAACACCUUCUCAAAACGAAGUAGUAGAAGAACAACAGGAAGAAGAACCGGUUGUGCAACCACUAAGAAGGAGUACAAGGAUAAGGAAGGAUCCUUCUAGCUGGGUAAACACGAGAGUGUACUACAAUGCCCAAGCUGUGGAGCAUCCUUCUCAAGCCGUGUGCUCCUUUGCUCAAUAUCCAGAAGCACAUUGUGCCUUUAUGGUAAACUUGGAUGAGAAUCACAUCCCAAGAAGCUAUGAAGAGGCAAUGAAGGAUAAGGAAUGGAAGGAAUCAGUAGGAGCUGAGGCAGGAGCUAUGAUAAAGAAUGAUACAUGGUAUGAGAGUGAACUACCAAAAGGGAAGAAGGCAGUGUCUAGUAGAUGGAUCUUCACAAUCAAAUACAAGGCUGAUGGACAGAUUGAGAGGAAGAAAACUAGACUAGUAGCAAGAGGGUUCACUCAGACAUAUGGGGAGGAUUACAUUGAGACAUUUGCCCCUGUAGCUAAGCUACACACCAUUAGGAUUGUUCUAAGCUUGGCGGUUAAUCUUGGAUGGGGAUUGUGGCAAAUGGAUGUAAAGAAUGCAUUCUUACAAGGGGAACUUGAGGAUGAAGUCUACAUGUAUCCUCCACCAGGCCUAGAACAUCUAGUGAAGAAAGGAAAUGUACUGAGGUUAAAGAAGGCUAUCUAUGGCUUGAAGCAAUCACCAAGAGCAUGGUAUAACAAGUUGAGCACAACCUUGAAUGGACGUGGCUUCAGGAAGUCAGAGUUAGAUCACACACUUUUCACCCUCACUACACCCUCAGGUAUGGUUGCUCUCCUUGUGUAUGUGGAUGAUAUCAUUAUCACAGGGAGUGAUAAGGAGGGUAUCAAAGCAACCAAGGAGUUUCUCAAAUCCAUGUUUGAAAUCAAAGAUUUGGGAGAAAUGAAAUACUUUCUUGGAAUUGAGAUUUGUAGAUCCAAGGAAGGGUUAUUCAUGUCCCAAAGGAAGUAUACACUUGAUCUUUUGAAAGGUGCAGGUGCUUAUGGAGGCAAGACUGCAAGGAUGCCUAUGGAGGAUGGCUACAAAGUCCCACGAGAGGGGGAGAUUGAAGACAGCAUGCAGGUGCUUAUGGAGGCAAGACAGCAAGGAUGCCUAUGGAGGAUGGCUACAAAGUACCAAGAGAGGGGGAGAUUGAAGACAGCAAGCCAUUCCAUGAUCCUAAACUCUAUAGAAAACUUGUUGGCAAAUUGAUUUACCUUACCAUCACAAGACCUGACAUAUGUUUUGCUGUGAAUCAGGUGAGUCAACAUAUGCAGCUUCCCAAGGAACAUCAUUGGCACAUGGUGGAGAGGCUGCUGAUGUAUCUGAAUGGCUCGCCAGAUCAAGGAGUCUGGAUGGGGUGCAAUGGAAGCACUGAGGUGGUGGGCUAUUGUGAUGCUGAUUGGGCAAACGGCUCACCUGAUCAAGGAGUAUGGAUGGGUUGCAAUGGAAGCACUGAAGUGGUUGGAUACUGUGAUGCAGAUUGGGCUGGUGAUAGAGCAGACAGGAGAUCAACCACAGGCUAUUGCACAUUCAUUGGAGGCAACUUGGUGACAUGGAAGAGUAAGAAGCAGAAGGUGGUCUCUUGCUCAAGUGCAGAAGCUGAGUAUAGAGCUAUGCUGAAGCUUACCAAUGAGCUGGUGUGGAUCAAAGGCAUCUUGAAGCAUUUGGAGAUUGAUCAAGCCACGCCUAUGACAAUGCAUUGUGAUAACCAAGCAGCUAUCCACAUUGCCUCCAACUCCGUGUUCCACGAGAGAACCAAGCACAUUGAAGUUGAUUGUCACAAAGUGAGGCAAAUGAUCAUCCUAGGAGUCAUCCUGCCAUGCUACACUAGGAGUGAAAAAGCACAUUGAGGUUGAUUGCCACAAGGUGAGGCAGAUGAUUGUCCUAGGAGUCAUCUUGCCAUGUUAUACUAGGAGUGAAGAUCAGUUGGCUGAUGUGUUCACUAAGGCUGCGAGACACAAGACUAUGGAGUCCAUUCACAUUAGAUUGGGACUCAUAGAUCUUGGGAAGAGAAGGAGCUGAUCCCCUAAGUCAUGAGGUCUUUACUCUUUUUCCCUCAUCAAAGUUUUGUCCCAAUGGGUUUUCUUUGGUGAGGUUUUUAAUGAGGAAGAUCUCAUGGCUGUCCAAGCUUAGACUAUCACAAAGCUAAGCUUGAGGGGGAGUGUUGAGAAGAGUUGAGUAUACAAGUGUGAAGUACAAAGGGGUUAAGACUGAAGAGAGUGUGUUAAGCAUUGGUGUGAUAGGAGAGGUUCACAGUGGCCUGACCGUACAAGGCCGUACAAGGCCGUACGGUCCGUACACAUUCAGACCAGUGAAACCAUGACCGCGGUUACAAGGAGUUACCCGAGUAACUUAUGGGAAGAGAAGGGGCUUUGGCUGAUGAAUCAGACCGUUGGAGGAUAAGAGAGGCGCGGCUUUAC
rnacentral:lncRNA from 1 species